rnacentral:rRNA from 1 species
GUUAGGAAUAUUGGACAAUGGGCGCAAGCCUGAUCCAGCCAUGCCGCGUGAGUGAUGAAGGCCUUCGGGUUGUAAAGCUCUUUAGCCGAUGAUUAUAAUGACUGUAGUCGGAAAAUAAGCCCCGGCUAACUUCGUGCCAGCAGCCGCGGUAAUACGAAGGGGGCGAGCGUUAUUCGGAAUCACUGGGCGUAAAGCGUGCGUAGGCGGCUUUGCAAGUUGGGAGUGAAAGCCCAGGGCUCAACCCUGGAAUUGCUCUCAAAACUGCAAGGCUCGAAUUCGCGAGAGGAUAGCGGAAUUGUCAGUGUAGCAGUUAAAUGCGUAGAUAUUUACAGGAACACCAGUGGCGUAAGCGGCUAUCUGGACCGAUAUUGACGCUGAGGCACGAAAGCGUGGGGAUCAAACAGGAUUAGAAACCCGUGUAGUCC